rnacentral:rRNA from 1 species
GAUAAACGCUAGCGGCAGGCUUAACACAUGCAAGUCGAGGGGCAGCAUAGAUUGUAGCAAUACAAUUGGUGGCUACCGGCGCACGGGUGCGUAACGCGUAUGCAACCUUCCCGUCACAGGGGGAUAAUCCGGAGAAAUCUGGUCUAAUACCCCAUAACAUAUGGAUCGGCAUCGGUUCAUGUUGAAAUUUUCGGAGGUGACGGAUGGGAAUGCGUAGCAUUAGCUUGUUGGUGAGGUAACGGCUCACCAAGGCGACGAUGCUUAGGGGGACUGAGAGGUUUGCCCCCCACACUGGUACUGGGACACGGACCAGACUCCUACGGGAGGCAGCAGUGGGGAAUAUUAGUCAAUGGGCGCAAGCCUGAACCAGCCAUGCCGCGUGCAGGAUGACGGCUCUAUGAGUUGUAAACUGCUUUUGUACGAGGGUAAAGUGGGUUACGUGUAACCUUUUGAAAGUAUCGUACGAAUAAGGAUCGGCUAACUCCGUGCCAGCAGCCGCGGUAA